rnacentral:lncRNA from 1 species
AGACUUAACUAGAGAAGUCCCGGCCAAGAUACUGUCCCAUCCAUCGCUGUCAAAUCAUUGUCUCCAAUCUCUCCUGCAAGAUGGUCUGACAAGUUCUCAGAAUCAUGUGAGAUCGCUUUCCCCAAACCACGUUCCUCCUCUGCCUGGCACCAGACUUCAGUCUUCCUUCUUUGUUCGUAUCAGGAAGAUCACACAGCCACAAGGAGGGCUGGAUCAAGAGAGAGGCUGUUUGUGUUCUGUGCAGCGCUGGGGACAUCAGGGAGGCUACGCACGAUGCUUGGAGCCCGGUGAACCCUUGAUGGCAGUGAGGUGAGUCCUUGGUUCUCAGCUUUCAACUCUGGCUGCCAAGACUGCUGCCUGCUGCCAUACUGUCUCCACCAUUAUGGACCCUAAACCUCUGGAACCAUAAGCCUCAAUAAAUCCUUCCUUCUAAAA